UACGUAGGGUCCAAGCGUUAUCCGGAAUCACUGGGCGUAAAGCGUGCGUAGGCGGCGUGUUAAGUGUGAUGUUAAAUCGUGUGGCUCAACCAUAUCGAUGCAUCGCAUACUGGCAUGCUAGAGGAAGGCAGAGGCAAGUGGAAUUAGUAGUGUAGCAGUGAAAUGCGUAGAGAUUACUAGGAACACCAAUGGCGAAGGCAGCUUGCUGGGCCUUUUCUGACGCUGAGGUACGAAAGCGUGGGGAGCAAACAGG
rnacentral:rRNA from 1 species